UACGUAGGGGGCAAGCGUUGUCCGGAAUCAUUGGGCGUAAAGAGCGUGUAGGCGGCCCGGUAAGUCCGCCGUGAAAGUCCAGGGCUCAACCCUGGAAUGCCGGUGGAUACUGUCGGGCUAGAGUCCGGAAGGGGCGAGUGGAAUUCCUGGUGUAGCGGUGAAAUGCGCAGAUAUCAGGAGGAACACCGAUGGCGAAGGCAGCUCGCUGGGACGGUACUGACGCUGAGGCGCGAAAGCGUGGGGAGCAAACGGG
rnacentral:rRNA from 1 species